ACGAUGUUCCGCUGAUUAUGAUUUGAGGAUAUUCAAGAGCAUCUG
rfam:Bacillus pseudalcaliphilus strain DSM 8725 super5, whole genome shotgun sequence.